rnacentral:tRNA from 1 species
AAGUUAAAUUAGUUUACUAAAAAUAUCAGCCUGUGGAUCUGAAGACAAGAUUUCUAUCUUAUUUAA